CAUGGCUGCCGAAUCCGGUGGUCACGACCUCAGGGCUGCCAGAUCUGGCGCCUAGGGGCUUGUGGCCACCGGAUCCGGCUGUUUUC
rnacentral:pre_miRNA from 1 species